rnacentral:rRNA from 1 species
AGCAGCCGCGGUAAUUCCAGCUCCAAUAGCGUAUAUUAAAGUUGUUGCAGUUAAAAGCUCGUAGUUGAAUUUCGGGAUCAGUACGCUGGUCGUGCCUUCGGUAUGUACUGGUGUUACUGGUUCCUACCUUCUGACGAACUGUCAUGUCAUUAAUUUGGUGUGGCGGGGAAUCAGGACUGUUACUUUGAAAAAUUAGAGUGUUUAAAAGCAGGCUCGCGCUUGAAUACAUUAGCAUGGAAUAAUGAAAUAGGACGUUCGAUCCUAUUUUGUUGGUUUCUAGGAUUGACGUAAUGAUUAAUAGGGAUAGUUGGGGGGCAUUAGUAUUCAAUUGUCAGAGGUGAAAUUCUUGGAUUUUAUUGAAGACUAACUACUGCGAAAGCAUUUGCCAAGGAUGUUUUC